rnacentral:lncRNA from 1 species
AUAUAUAUAUAUAUAAACUAAAAGGAGCAAUUACCAUGAAAUUAUAUAAUGAGAACUUUUAGCCUUUUAGUUGUUUUGAUAUUUUAAUCUUUUAGUGGAUAAAUAUAUAGUACUCUCAUCUUCUUACUUUUUGGUGUUCGAAUCUUUCUUUCUGUUCCUUUCAAGUUUCAAGCGAUCACAUGACAACAAAAAUAUGAAUAAUAGUAAAAAUAUUGUUGUAGAUAACGAGAAUUACUUCAGGAAAUGUUGGUCAAAAUCGCGAUUGAAAUCUCGUUAUAUAUUAUGAAUAUAUGAAAAGAAUGGACCUUGGGCCUAACUCAACCCCAAAAGCUAACUUAUGAGGCGAGGAUUGCCCAAGCCAUAUAAGGAGACCAAGGACCUCAAAUCCCUCCGAUGU